rnacentral:piRNA from 3 species
UGCCUGGGUCUUGGAUAAACUGAAAGC